GAUGAACGCUGGCGGCGUGCUUAACACAUGCAAGUCGAACGGAAGGACGAGAAGUUUGCUGCUCUGUUGUUUGCGGCGGGCGGGAGAGUAACACGUGGAUAACGUACCUAUAAGACUGGGAUCUCUUCGGGAAACCGGAGCUUAUACCGGAUAAUCUUUUGAACCGCAUGGUUGAAAGGUGAAUGUCGGUCUUUGUGUCACUUAUCGAUGCAUCCGCGCUGCAUUAGCUGGUUGGUAAGGUAACGGCUUACCACGGCAACGAUGCAUAGCCGACCUGAGAGGGUGAUCGGCCACACUGGAACUGAGACGCGGUCCAGACUCCUACGGGAGGCAGCAGUAGGGAAUCUUCCGCAAUGGGCGAAAGCCUGACGGAGCAACGCCGCGUGAGUGAUGAAGGUCUUCGGAUCGUAAUGCUCUGUUAUUAGGGAAGAACAUAUGUGUAAGUAACUGUGCACAUCUUGACGGUACCUAAUCAGAAAGCCACGGCUAACUACGUG
rnacentral:rRNA from 1 species